rnacentral:lncRNA from 1 species
CCCCUUAGACCCUCCCAGUCACCCCCAGUUCAUCCCAGUGCCUCCCAGUUCAACCCAGUUCACUCCCCUAGACCCUCCCAGUAGCCCCCAGUUCAUCCCAGUUCAUCCCAGUUACCCCCAGUUCAUCCCAGUCACUCCCAGUUCAACCCAGUUCACCCCAGUUCACUCCCCUAGACCCUCCCGGUCACCCCCAGUUCAUCCCAGUUACCCCCAGUUCAUCCCAGUGCCUCCCAGUUGGUCUCAGUGCUCCUCCCAGUCACUCCCAGUUCCCCCCCGGUUCCCCCAGUUGCCCACAGCGCCCCUCCCAGUCCCUCCCAGUGCCCUCACCAGUCUGUCCCAGUGCUACCCAGUGGCCGCGGUGGCAGCGAUGAUGGCGGCGACGAUGAGGACGGUGACGAGGACGCAGGCGGCCACCAGCAGCUUCUUCUGCGGGGGGACAGCGGGGACAGGUUGGGGACAGGCCAGCACCCUUGGGUGCCACCACCCUUGGGUGCCACCAACCCAAUGUCACCAAGUGCCACCAACCCAGUGCCACCACCCUUGGGUGCCACCACCCUUGGGUGCCACCAACCCGAUGCCAUCAACCCAAGUGCCACCAACCCAGUGCCACCACCCUUGGGUGCCACCAACCCAAUGCCACCACCCUUGGGUGCCACCAACCCAAUGCCACCACCCUUGGGUGCCACCCGUAUCCCCCAGUGUCCCCACCCGCCGCGCCCCGCGCUGGUGCUCCCGUGCUGUCCCCAGGUGCUGGUGGCCCUUGCGCACGCAGGUCCCCGACUCCAGGAUGUUCUUCUCGAUGCGGUCGAUCACCUCCCCCUGCGCACCAGUAUAAACCAGUAUAAACCAGUAUGAACCAGUAUAAACCAGUAUAGACCAGUAUAAGUCAGUAGGAGCCAAUAUAAAACCGAUUAUGAACCAGUAUGGACCAGUGUCAGCUAGCACUAUGGGCCGUUAGGCAUCAGUAUGGAUGAGCAUGAA